GAGUAGCCAUAUAGCCUAU
rnacentral:snRNA from 1 species